AACUGCGAGUGAAGCGGGAAAAGCUCAAAUUUAAAAUCUAAUGGUCCUUGGCCAUUCGAGUUGUAAUUUAGAGAAGCGUCUUCCGCGCCAGACCAUGUACAAGUCUCCUGGAACGGAGCGUCAUAGAGGGUGAGAAUCCCGUCUUUGACAUGGACCCUUGGUGCUUCUGUGAUGCGCUCUCAAAGAGUCGAGUUGUUUGGGAAUGCAGCUCAAAAUGGGUGGUGAACUCCAUCUAAGGCUAAAUAUUGGCGAGAGACCGAUAGCGAACAAGUACCGUGAGGGAAAGAUGAAAAGCACUUUGGAAAGAGAGUGAAACAGUACGUGAAAUUGUUGAAAGGGAAACACUUGAAGUCAGUCGCGUCGAUCGAGACUCAGCCUUGCCUCGGCUUGGCGUACUUCUCGACUUGACGGGCCAGCAUCAAUUUCAUCCCUCGGAUAAUGGCAGGGGAAAGGUGGCACCUUCGCGGGUGUGUUAUAGUCUCUUGUCGCAUACGAGGGCUGGGAUUGAGGAACUCAGCACGCACCUCACGGUGUCGGGGCUUCGGCCCACGUUACGUGCUCAGGAUGCCGGCGUAAUGGCUUUAAAUGACCCGUCUUGAAACACGGACCAAGGAGUCUAACAUGCCUGCGAGUGUUCGGGUGGAAAACCCGUGUGCGUAAUGAAAGUAAAAGUUGGGACCUCUGUCGUGGAGGGCACCGACGCCCGGACCAGACCUUCUGUGACGGAUCUGCGGUAGAGCAUGCAUGUUGGGACCCGAAAGAUGGUGAACUAUGCCUGAAUAGGGUGAAGCCAGAGGAAACUCUGGUGGAGGCUCGUAGCGAUUCUGACGUGCAAAUCGAUCGUCAAAUUUGGGUAUAGGGGCGAAAGACUAAUCGA
rnacentral:rRNA from 2 species